rnacentral:tRNA from 1 species
ACUAUUUUGGCAGAUUAGUGUAAUAAAUUUAGAAUUUAUUUAAGUAUAAUAAAGUUUAUACAUAUAGUA